rnacentral:rRNA from 1 species
UACGAAGGGGGCUAGCGUUGUUCGGAAUUACUGGGCGUAAAGCGCACGUAGGCGGAUAUUUAAGUCAGGGGUGAAAUCCCAGAGCUCCAACUCUGGAACUGCCUUUGAUACUGGGUAUCUUGAGUAUGGAAGAGGUGAGUGGAAUUCCGAGUGUAGAGGUGAAAUUCGUAGAUAUUCGGAGGAACACCAGUGGCGAAGGCGGCUCACUGGUCCAUUACUGACGCUGAGGUGCGAAAGCGUGGGGAGCAAACAGGG